rnacentral:misc_RNA from 1 species
AAAAAAAAAAAAAAGGAAUCUAGCAGAUUCCUUGACCAGACCCCAUGGAUUUUUGUAGCUAGGAAGUCGGAUAACAGUUCCGACAACAAAAAUGGGCAGAUCGACGACUAGAGUAGGGCUGGAGAGGGUCAGAUGCCACAGAAAUCUAGAAAACUUACAGGUCUAGAUUCAAGUCAAGAUCUAAUCCGAUCAUAUCUUCUUUUCCAAGAAGUUGCAAGUGAUCGGAAAAGCAUUGGAAGGGUCACCUGGAUGUCAGUAGUGGAUUGGCGGUGGCAAUGCUUGGGUUUGAAGGCCGGAUGAUGGUGUAUGGUGAGGGGUGCUGGGUUGCGUUGUUUCUCAAAGCUUUUUUUUUUUUUUUAAUCAGAAAGAACAUAAUAUUGAAUUGAAUACAUUAAUCAAAAAUCAAGUACAAAAACCGAAUAAAAAUUAACAAAAGAGUUAUUAUAUAAAAAGUUUACCU